UUCCCAAAUACUACUCUCAUUCAGGAACCUUCAAAGAUCACUCAUUGCCACGGCAAAGAUUUUAAACCCUUGAUCCUGUCUUCGGAAGCCAGCCCGCGUUUUGGCCCCUACAUCUCUAUACUGCGCAGUCCAGAGCCCACGCUCCAGCCCAUGGGGACUCCUUCCUGGCCUCAACGCAUUCCUGCUCCUGCAUAAGAUGCUGCUGUUUCACCUUCCGUUGUUCCUGUCUGUCCAAGAUGGUGAUGCUGCAGGAGAUCUGCCCUGUGGAAGGGGAACCAAGAUCUAGACUAUUGGUCAGAUGAAGUCAACCGAUUCCUGUCUUGCCAGCUGGAUCUCCCUUGCUUCCUCCAGGAGAGAGGGGGUUGAAAGAGCCAGCAAGAACUGAGAAGGUAAAUGUCACUGCUUCUAGACUG
rnacentral:lncRNA from 1 species